UGGGGAAUAUCGGACAAUGGGCGCAAGCCUGAUCCAGCCAUGCCGCGUGAGUGAUGAAGGCCCUAGGGUUGUAAAGCUCUAUCACCGGUGAAGAUAAUGACGGUAACCGGAGAAGAAGCCCCGGCUAACUUCGUGCCAGCAGCCGCGGUAAUACGAAGGGGGCUAGCGUUGUUCGGAUUUACUGGGCGUAAAGCGCACGUAGGCGGACUUUUAAGUCAGGGGUGAAAUCCCGGGGCUCAACCCCGGAACUGCCUUUGAUACUGGAAGUCUUGAGUAUGGUAGAGGUGAGUGGAAUUCCGAGUGUAGAGGUGAAAUUCGUAGAUAUUCGGAGGAACACCAGUGGCGAAGGCGGCUCACUGGACCAUUACUGACGCUGAGGUGCGAAAGCGUGGGGAGCAAACAGG
rnacentral:rRNA from 1 species